rnacentral:lncRNA from 1 species
GGCUUGUUGAUGUUGUGUUGGGAAGCAUAGAUGUUGCUUUGUUCCACAAUCUCUUUCAUUAAAGUCUUCUUCAGAAGGCUGCGAAAAUACUCCACAUCGCCUGAGCAUUUGCACAAACAAUAAUGAGACGGAUCAGAAGGAUGGCAGAAGCGCGUUCCCGACCCAGUGCGCGCGGCUGAGGGUGACCCAUCAUCAGGAGCUAUGCUGCCUUCAUCAAACACCGCAUCCCUGAGCCUGUGGCCCGCAUACCCCCGCUGAAGCUCGAGUAUGCUAUCGCCUUGCUCCCGCUGCUGGAAGCUCCACACAUGCGUGCAGAAUGUAUUUCAACAGACGGUCGAAAAAGAUCCACAGCGAGGGAGAACAGUUAGUGUUGACCCCUCUUAGCCAGGACUCCCCCCUCCGGCAGGACCAGCCCGUGGGCUCCAACAUGUGCCCCCACCUGGCAGACCGGUUUGAGAAAAGUGAGUGCCCUCCCCAAGCGGGCCGCUGCCUCCCGCUACUGCUUGGAGCCUCACAGGUGCAUGAAGCCACCCCUUCCUUCAGCCCACACUGCAUGGAUAGACUAAUAAAGCUAAAGUUCUCAGCACUCUUUCAUCACAUGCACACAGACAUGGCAUGCAUUAGGGCUGGGCGGUAUGACGCUAUAUAUUGUGGCGUUGAUUUCAAGUGUGUAUUCGUAGAGAGAGAUAUUGCGUUAUAUGUUAGUGUGUUAAAGAAAUAUGUUUGAAUGAGAAAAUAGAGCGAGAACUGCUUGAUGUUAAAAAGAGUUAUUGAAUGCUUGAAUGGUCAAAUACACACACAUUUAUGUCAAAAUAUCCAUUGAGAAGAGUAUUUAUGUAAACACAGUCAGUUAUGUCUGUUUAAGUGAACAUAAUCAGUUGUGAGAAAAUCAUAUGUGUAUCAAUACAUUGGAUCCGUGCAUGAGGUCUUAAAGGAAUAGUUCACCCCAAAAUGAACAUUUGCGAAAAUGUACUUACCCUCAGGCCAUUCAAGAUGUAGAUGUGUUUGUUUCUUCAUAAGAACAAAUUUGGAGAAACUUAGCAUUACAUCACUUCCUCACUAAUGGAUCAUCUGCAACGAAUGGGUCCAAACAGCUAAUAAAAACAUCAUAAUAAUC